GACGAACGCUGGCGGCGUGCCUAAUACAUGCAAGUAGAACGCUGAAGGAGGAGCUUGCUUCUCUGGAUGAGUUGCGAACGGGUGAGUAACGCGUAGGUAACCUGCCUGGUAGCGGGGGAUAACUAUUGGAAACGAUAGCUAAUACCGCAUAACAGUAGAUAUCGCAUGAUUUCUACUUGAAAGGUGCAAUUGCAUCACUACCAGAUGGACCUGCGUUGUAUUAGCUAGUUGGUGAGGUAACGGCUCACCAAGGCGACGAUACAUAGCCGACCUGAGAGGGUGGUCGGGCCCACUGGGAAUGGGACACGGCCCAGACCCCUACGGGAGGGAGCAGUAGGGAAUCUUCGGCAAUGGGCGGAAGGCUGACCGAGCAACGCCGCGGGAGUGAAGAAGGGUUUCGGGUCGGAAAGGUCUGUUGUAAGAGAAGAACGAGUGUGAGAGUGGAAAGUUCACACUGUGACGGUAUCUUACCAGAAAGGGACGGCUAACUACGUG
rnacentral:rRNA from 1 species